rnacentral:rRNA from 1 species
GAGUUUGAUCCUGGCUCAGAGCGAACGCUGGCGGCAGGCCUAAAACAUGCAAGUCGAACGCACCUUCGGGUGAGUGGCGGACGGGUGAGUAACGCGUGGGAACGUGCCCUUUGGUUCGGAACAACUCAGGGAAACUUGAGCUAAUACCGGAUGUGCCCUUCGGGGAAAGAUUUAUCGCCAUUGGAGCGGCCCGCGUUGGAUUAGGUAGUUGGUGGGGUAAAGGCCCACCAAGCCUACGAUCCAUAGCUGGUCUGAGAGGAUGAUCAGCCACAUUGGGACUGAGACACGGCCCAAACUCCUACGGGAGGCAGCAGUUAGGAAUCUUGGGCAAUGGGCGAAAGCCUGACCCAGCCAUGCCGCGUGAAUGAUGAAGGUCCUAGGAUUGUAAAAUUCUUUCACCGGGAAGAUAAAUGACGGUACCCGGAGAAGAAGCUCCGGCUAACUUCGUGCCAGCCGCCGCGGUAA